UUUUUGGAUCAAAAUCAACAAUCCAAAUAUCUCUUAUUAGAAAAAGAUUCUGAAAAAGAGAUUAGAACACAUGAGGAAGAACUGCUAUUAAUUAGAAAAGGUGAAAAUCUGAUUAAACAGGGUAAUCAACUCAUCAAGCAGGGUGAGCGUAAAAUAAAAGAAGGGGAAUUACUGCUUCGUACUCAUGGAUCCAAUGUAAACAGGUAUGCAUAGAUAAAUGUAUCUCCCUCUUUUUAUUUUGCACACACACAUACAUAUUGUUUGACUAUGUUUCACAAAACCUUCAAAAUGUAUAUAUGUUUCAAUGUAUUUUUUUAUUAUUUAUAGUGUACCAUGUAGAGUGCCUAAAUCAUCUGCAGUCAAUACAUCUUGUACAC